rnacentral:rRNA from 1 species
UACGAGGGAUGCAAGCGUUAUCCGGAAUUAUUGGGCGUAAAGCGUUUGUAGGCGGGCGAGUGUGUUUAAUGUUAAAUCUUAAAGCUCAACUUUGAAAUUGCGUUAAAAACUGCUUGUCUUGAGUAUGGUAGGGGUAAAGGGAAUUCCCAGUGUAGCGGUGAAAUGCGUAGAUAUUGGGAAGAACACUAAACAGCGAAGGCACUUUACUAGGCUAAUACUGACGCUGAGAAACGAAAGGUAAGGUAGCGAAACGGAUUAGAUACCCGUGUAGUCUUACCCGUAAACUAUGGACACUAAACGGUAAAUUUUUAAUUUACCGUUAAAGCUAACGCGUUAAGUGUCCCGCCUGGGGAGUAUGCUUGCAAAAGUGAAACUCAAAGGAAUUGACGGGGGCCCGCACAAGCGGUGGAGCAUGUGGUUUAAUUCGACGGUACACGAAGAACCUUACCAGGAUUUGACAUGCUAGAUAGUUGCUUGAAAGAGUAACGUGCCGUAAGGAAUCUAGACACAGGUGGUGCAUGGCUGUCGUCAGUUCGUGUUGUGAAAUGUUGGGUUAAGUCCCGCAACGAACGCAACCCUUGUCUUUAGUUAUUUUCUAAAGAGACUGCCUGUAAUAAACAGGAGGAAGGUAAGGAUGAGGUCAAGUCAUCAUGCCCCUUAUGUCCUGGGCUACACACGUGCUACAAUGGGAAAGACAAUGAGCUGCAAAUCUGUAAAUUUAAGCAAAUCUCUUAAACUUUCUCGUAGUUCGGAUUGUGGGCUGCAACUCGCCCACAUGAAGUUGGAAUCGCUAGUAAUCGCCAGUCAGCUAUAUGGCGGUGAAUCCGUUCCCGGGCCU